rnacentral:rRNA from 1 species
CUAAGCACACUGUUGGUUAUGUGUGCCCAAGCAUUGAGGCAGUCAAAGUAGGCAAAUCCGCUUUGAUAAUGCUGGGAUGUGAUGGGGAGCGAAAUUUAGUAGCGAAGUAGCUGAUUUCACACUGUCAAGAAAAGUCUCUAUCGAGGUUAAAGGUACCCGUACCGCAAACCGACACAGGUGGGUGAGGAGAGUAUCCUAAGGCCAGCGAGAGAACUGUUGUUAAGGAACUCGGCAAAAUGACCCCGUAACUUAGGGAUAAGGGGUGCCACCAUCAGGUGGCCGCAGAGAAUAGGCCCAAGCGACUGUUUACCAAAAACAUAGGUUUCUGCUAAGUCGCAAGACGAUGUAUAGGAGCUGACGCCUGCCCGGUGCUGGAAGGUUAAGGGGAUCUGUUAGAGCAAUCGAAGCAGUGAACUUAAGCCCCAGUAAACGGCGGCCGUAACUAUAACGGUCCUAAGGUAGCGAAAUUCCUUGUCGGGUAAGUUCCGACCCGCACGAAAGGCGUAACGAUUUGGGCACUGUCUCAACAACAGACUCGGUGAAAUUGUAAUUCCGGUGAAGAUGCCGGAUACCUGCGACAGGACGGAAAGACCCCAUGGAGCUUUACUGUAGCUUGACAUUGGGUCUUGGUACUACAUGUACAGGAUAGGUGGGAGGCUUUGAAACCAGGACGCCAGUUUUGGCGGAGCCAUCCUUGGGAUACCACCCUUGUAGUACUGGGACUCUAACCAUAGGCCAUGAAUCUGGUCUUGGGACACUGUCAGGUGGGCAGUUUGACUGGGGCGGUCGCCUCCCAAAAGGUAACGGAGGCGCUCAAAGGUUCUCUCAGUACGGUCGGAAAUCGUACGUAGAGUGUAAAGGCAAAAGAGAGCUUGAUUGCAAGACAUACAGGUCGAGCAAGGAUGAAAAUCGGACUUAGUGAUCCGGUGGUUCUGCGUGGAAGGGCCAUCGCUCAACGGAUAAAAGCUACCCUGGGGAUAACAGGCUUAUCUCCCCC